ACAGAGGGCUAUAGUUCCUGAUUGAAGGGCUGUGGAUCUGGGAGGCCAUGACAGGCUCUCUAGACUCGAGUGCUACUACAGGACACCUAGGCUCUUCCGCCUCUGGCUGGCAACGAAUGCCAAGCAGGCUCAACAAGGAGAGGCAUCUGCACUUCUUCAGUACCCCACCCUGAUGGGGUGGACCAAAGAAGACCAUAUGAGGACCCACUAUUCAGCCUACCCCAAAACUGUCAACUCUGAUGGCCCAGAGGAAGAUCCAAACUGGGUGGGAUGUCCAAGAAAUGAAGACUGUAUUUAGAAGAAUGUUUUUUAAUUAGACUUGUCAAUUAGGACUGGAAGGCAACGCUGGAGCACAUUUGAUUUUUGUUUUUCCUCUGCGGCUCUCUCCUUCCUCCUGCCCCGGCGCCCCCCGGCCGGCGGGCCGGCGAGCCACAGUGCGUUUACCUGACUGUGGGGUCCCAUCAUGCUGCUGGGAUUGUGAGGUGGAGGCUGUGCGUGCGGCGAGGGCUGUGACCCCGGAGGACCCUGUGAGGCCAGACAGUAGAGGCAGGUUAUAGAUCACAGCACAUGGAGAAGCGCAGAAGAAGCUUAAAAGAACAAAAAUUAAACCAAAACGCAGAGUGGCGGCGGGCGUGCGGGUGGUGGGCUGUGGCUGGCAGGAGGUGGUGGAGCACUGCUUGGGUCCUGGUUCAAUGGCGAACAACGGCGGGCAGGCGGGAAGGAGGGAGGCUGACCAAUACAUUCACAAGGGAUUUGGAAAAACGAAAAAAUAAAACAAAGCACCUUCAUCAGAGCACACAGGAGCGAGGGCCAGACGCAGGCUAUGACCACACAGAGUUUGCCAUGUUAAAUACACUGGUUGACUCAGACAGGGCCCUGGACCCAGACACAAUGCCUGAAAGCACCACUUCAGAGGACAGGAGGAAUCAGGUGAAGUCCCUGCCCUCAAGGAGCUGACGGUCUCUCAGACAGAGAACAGGUGAUUUGGGACAGUAUUCAUAAGGUCCUGCUGCUUGAAGCAGGGCAGAGGGAAUGAUGGACAAACAAGGACAGAGGCAGAGGUGGUCUAGGUUCUAAGCCAAUAGUGUAUACAGACAGUCGCCAAGCUCGUGCGAGCAUUGUCAGGACUCCAUGGCUCAUGAAUUCACCUACAGUUCAAAACAGCUCUGUAUGCACUGCCUUUUCUUUCAGCCUUUGCAGGAGAGGAAACACCGUGUCAAGCAAUGAAGAGACCAGGCCACAGCCACACAAGCUCUAAGUGGCAGAGCCAGGCUGAGGCACAGGGAGAACCGAGGUGUGCCCAUGGGCCACAGACAUCUGAGACGGGGAAGUCACCAGUUAAGAGUGAGAAGAAAUGCACAGUGAGUAUCUCCACUCUGGGGAAACUGGAGGGAGAAUCAGCAGAGGGGCUCUGCUUUCUAUGUGAGCAAAGUAAAGCCAGCAUCAUGGCCUCCUGCCCUGUCCAUUCUCCGUGAUGUCAACUCACAGUGAAUCUGAGUCUCACAUGCGCCUGGUGAGACACACACGCACACUCAAGGAAAGAUUUCUCAACGUGUACAUGGCACACUUGCCCCAUGCAUCAGCAGAUGAUAGCUUUGCUGUUGAUACUUUGUUUGUUUGUUUGUUUGUUUGUUCUUUUGAGACAAGAGUUUCUCUGUGUAGUCCUGGCCAUCCUGGAUCUGUAGACCAGACUGGCUUCAAGCUCAGAUCUGCCUGCCUCUGCCUCCUCUGAGUACUGGGAUUAAACGGAUACACCACUACCCAGCUAGACGGUAAUUAAAAAAACAAACAAACAAACAAACAAACAAACAAACCAAAAACAGGGAGGAAAUCUGUGCUUACUGCUUUUAGGCGGAGAAAGGGGCCAGACACGCCCUAGCCAUGAAGGAACCUGCUCAGACUCAGUCCUCUGCCACACUAUGCAUAGUUCAGUUGAGGCUGAGGUGAAUGGCAGUACAAGACCCCGAGGGGACAGCUACUAGUCAGACUACAGUGAGCUCAGGGAGAAAUCGGACCUGCCAGCUCUUUCUAAGGUUUGACUGGACACAGCCACACGCAUCUGUGCAGCCAUGGGAGACCUGAGGAGCACAGGGUCUUGACAUUUGCUAACCUUCCAAUCACAGGAAUGGUCGACAGAUCCCUGAGGAAGGGCAUAGCUUUUAAGGCUGAUGAGGGAAAACUGGCGCCUUUAUUAAUUUGCAAGGAAAAAUGCAAUACCCGCACACUUUCUGAUUUUAAGCUCACAUCUUCCCUAAAAGACAAAGGCAGUAAAAGCCAACUAUUUGCACAGGAGAAAAUGGCGUCAAGCCUGGUGGCACGUGCACUUGGGAGGGAAGGCUGGAGAGUCUAGGGUUCAAAGAUAGCCUUAGCUACACGGUUGAGUCUGAAAUGGGGGAGAACAUGGCAAACCAGUGACAUUAAGGCAUUAGCAGAGAGUCACGGUUUAUCCCACGGGACAUGGCCAGAAUGAACGGAAGUCCGAGGCUGACAAGCAUGCUCUCUCCCCACUGGCCACAUCACCUUUCACCAGCCUGGUUUGCUUGCCUUUCAGUCCUGAAUAGACUGCAGUUCACCACUGCAGCAUAAAGGACCAGGGGCUGGUGAGACGACGCCUGGAUGAAGAUGCUAGCUGCCGAGCUUGAGGACCUAGGCUUGCCCUCGGACUAAGUGGUGGAAGGAAUGGACUCAGAAGCUGACCUUGACCUCCACUCGGGCAUCCCUCCCCCCAGCCCUCUGCUGAUGGAAAUCACUUCAUCCCUGCCACAGUGCUGGGCUUCUCUUGUCUGGGACAUGAGCAUUUGUAUUCUGUUAGCAGGUUCAGACUGCUUGGGCCCUUUUCUAAGGACUGAGGUUCAUGGAGGAGCUUCUGGGUUCCUCAGGCCUAAUCUUAAAUGCAUGGGUUGGGAUGGGGUAAAAUAGGAGAGGUGAUUUGGGGAGCCACUGAAACCUUGGAAUCUCCCUUCCUGACACUGGGUGUCUGCUAUCUGUGUAACUGGUCAUCUGUCUGUAGGGACAAGGGAAGAAUAUCCAGAAUUUAGACUAGCAAACAGGACCACAGUCUGCUGUGUAUGGCCAGUGCAUUUGAUGGGUACCAGCUGCUGUGCCAACGUCACAAACAAGUAGCACCCCACCCUUCCCUCAGGAGUAGAAGUCUGUGGGAGACUUAAGUCUAACUAUGAUCACAGCAGCUUCGGAGACAGAAACUAAAUGCAGGCAGUAUUUACGCUGCAGUGAUUAUGACAGAAUCACAGGAGGCAGAGCCUUGAGGGUGUAGAUGUGCUCUGGAUGAAGAGAGGUGGCAGUCUGGGCGCAGAGGAUGCCUAGACAGCCCCGGUUCAGGAAAAGAUAUGUAUGCUUGCAGAAAGGCAGGGACCUGGGCCUGGGACGGAGGAAGUCUAACCUAUGGGAGCUUCUAUUAGGAAGUUACUAUGAAGAUUGGCUUAUCUGAGGAUCGCACGUCCAUUUCUUCCCACGAUGCUUCUCUACUUUCUUUUCAAGUCAGAAAUCAGGGCUGUGGCCAUGGGGGAAAAUCCUGAGCUAACAGCUGCCAGGGUGCUAAUCCUCAUCUCUUGUCAUGGGGAUGGAAGAAAGCCUUUAUCUUCCCCCUGUGAGCAGGCUCUGUGACCUUGAUGGGAUCUUCCACAGCACUGGCCAGGUCAAGGUUCCCACACAGUCUCAUCCCCGAGGGCUUCUAAGAGGGACCUGAUGGCAGGUGUUCUCCCUGACUUCUGCUCAUUGCAAAGUCACGUGUUCUGGGAAUGUGUGGGCAUCAGAGACGGACCCUGAUAGUAAAUUACAUCAGUUCCUUGGGAUACAGGGAGAAUAUUCCUGCUUUGCCAGAGCAAUCUGCUCCCCCCCCUAAAAACUAUCAUUUGCUCUGCAAUUGGACAGUGUUACUGAUGCAGCUGGCUCCUGCCGGCCUCCACCCUGCCUGCCAGCUCUGCUCUGCUGUUAAUCGCAACAGCACAGUGAAGGUGAGGUGCAUGUUAAAGAGGCAUGGCCUCAUCUACCCAGAGAAUCCUGCUCUGCUUGAAGUCCUCUAGACACUUGUGCACACAGCUCUUCCAGUAACACUGCACAGCUCAACAGAUAAUCCACAAUUGUUCAUAGCCAACCAGGAAGCAGGUAACCAGGCCCCGGAAGCCACAAACCAAAAUGCCCAGAAUUCAGCCUCCAAUGCCUACCAAACAGCAGACCCCAGAAGUGAUCAGUGUGGUUUCUCAAGCCUCUCCCUUCCCGACAUGCUGAGAUGACUUGGGACUCUAUUCUCUUCUCAGUAAGGGUGAAGCAGCAGGCUUGGGCUGGUAAAUGCCAGAACUCUGGAAAUGUACAGGUUUGCCAUGGGGGCAACCAACAUAGUCCCUGGAGAACUUUGGCAGAAGGAGUGACUGGGGUAAUGAAAGAAGCCAGGGUUAUGGGAGGAGCCUGGCCUCUGUGCCUGUGAAGAUCCUAAUAUACCUGAAGACAAUCUCAAGUCUGUGGUGCCAAGAGUCAAGUGCGCGGGUCAGUGCUGGAGCCAGCCAUCACCGUGAGGCAGCUGCUAAUAUGUGAAGCUGUCACUCAUGAUCCUCUCCACCCCCAGAGUUCUCCAGGGACACCCUGUCUUUUCCCCUCUUACCUACUCAAGAAUUCCACUUGGAACAAGGCUCUUCCACAGGAGAGCAGGCAAGCCUGGGGUGUGGUUUCCUUUUGUGCCUCCCACAUCCACUACCUCUAACGUUAUGGGGACCAGGACUCAGAAAACAAGGCCACUUUUCUAGACUCUUUGACUCUUCCUACAACUCCACAGCUACUGGAUUAGUUAAAGCUACCUUCAGGAAGAGGAACUUGGCUAGAUGUUGGGUUUGUCCAUUUUGAUCUUGGAGCAAAGAUAGGGCCAGACUCUGUCAAAGGCUUCUUGAAUACUGACCUGAGAAUGAAGAGCCUUCACUCCUAGAAAAGAACUCAGCAGCUGGGAGAAGAACUCAGACUGAUGGAAGCACAGAGACCAGACCUGAGAGCUGAUCCUCACCCUGGAGACCAAGAGCUGGUCUACCAAUGGUGUGAGGCUGAAAGGGACAGAGCAGAUAGGGUUCUGGGUGCUGUACUAGGCAGUGUGGAGUUUUAUGAGUAAGGACACUGUGGAAGAGCACCGAACAUGGCAGUCUAUGACGGCAGUGGACAAGUGUACCCACUAUGGCCAGGCCAAAGGCCAUUGACCGAUUGUGUGCUACAUGACGAAAUGAUUACAUGCUGGCCUCUGGAAAGGAAUCCUGUACAAUUUCCAACCAUUUUCAUGCUCUCUGGUGUAAUUCAGAGCUGAUGAAGUAGGCUGUUUUAUAGGCAGGGGAGAAAUGAAACUCAAAGGUGCUCCAGCAGCUUCUGCUGACAGAACUCCAUGUCGUCCCUGGGGUCCGAGAGUAGGUCUCCAUUAAGUUCAUCCAAACAAGACUGCUAAGAGCAGAAGCAGAAACUCCUGAACCCACAACCUACAUGUCUGCCUUCAUUUCCCCUAGAGACUCCUGUUAGGGGCUAGACCAAAGAACAAGGAGUCAGAAUGGCCAAAGUCAAGGGACUAAGUCAAGUGGGCAGACUUGAGCAAGAGAUUAGGAAGCUGCCUCAUUAAAGGGCCAAAUGGAACUGGUGUUUCACCAGAACCAACUCUUGUUAAGUGUUGACAGGAUAGUUAAUUUGGAGAAUCAUGAACCUUAGUAAUGUCAUAAAGGCUGUACUGAGCUUCAAGACGCUCUUCUGCCAAAAGAAUACACUAAAAGCAGGUAGGAAACUUGGAGAAUAAAGUGGCCCCAAGACACACGGGAACCAUCCAAGUGCCGGUAGGUACAGUGCUCACCAGGUACCUAGCACCAGGCAUAUCACAGAUUCUCCACAAGAGUCCUGAGGACUCAUGGAUAUCCCAUCCACCCCAAAUAUGGGAUGUGGCAAUUGAGGUUCAGAGAGGUUCACUAGCCACCAGGAAAAUAGCCCCUUCAUGUAGGAAGGAGGGGGCGGGGCUGUGCACCUGCCUGGCUCAAAGGGAACUGCAUGCUCCCCAGGCCCCUGCCAGCAUGGAUCUGAGGCUGCUCCUCAUCUCCCAGCAGCACUGCAAACAGCACUGGACAUCAGGCAUCUGUGUCUAGCCUGCCCCCCUCCAGUACAGACAGAAACAGACAGCAGGAAUCCUACAGCAGGAAUCCUACAGCAUCUUAGGUGAGGAAAGCCCCGAUGCUCCCAAUGCCCUGCUCACAGCCACUCAAUGCUCCUAGCCUGAACAGCGACCAUCCACACCUGCCCUGCACUGUCAUCUGCUAAAAGAGUUUAGCUUAACAUCUAGCACCAAGCUGGCAGUUCAUGAAAGCCGUGCCUGCCCCUAAUACUCCAACCUCAUUAACCACCAGUUAAGUCUUAGCAAGAGAUGGGACUUUUCUGGGACGAAGCUCACAGAAGCUCGGUGGGACUGGGCUAAACGUUUCAUUGCUGUCAAGGUCUUCGUGUCUGGAUGGAACUCUGCUUAGCAAAGUCGCCUAGGGAAGUAAGGGCCUUCAGACAGAAACGGGACGCACACCUGAAACUCACUUGGUGGGUCCUACCAUGUCCCAAGUCCUCAUAAUAUAUUAUUAGAUGGCUCAGCUGUUUCCUAAUCCUAAUCCCAGACCCCAGGCUUAGGUCUUCCCAGGGAAGGACAUCUACUAUGACUGACCCAGGGGCCGUCCUGACCUGGGUUGUGCAGAGGCAUGUGUACUGUGUACUGCACAGGACUCUACUGGAAUUCUCUUCCUCAAACCCUUUCUGCUACAAGGACUCAGCAAAUCUGACCUCCUUUUUGUAUAAAAGAGAAAAAUCUCACAAUUUGUUGAUGUGACAGAAGGACAGGCAGAGUUACCCCUGCAUUGGCUAGAGAGUCCCAACAGUCUAGUCCCACAAAUGCGAGCACCUGCAGACGUGACUCUUUUUUUUUGUUGUUGUUCUUUUUUUUCGGAGCUGGGGACCGAACCCAGGACCUUGCACUUCCUAGGUAAGUGCUCUACCACUGAGCUAAAUCCCCAGCCCCCAGACGUGACUCUUAUUUGGGGAAAGGAAAUAUAGUCAGGUAGUUGGCAGCAUAGGGCAGUAGCUCUCAGAGGCAGAAAAGAAGACUCAAUGCUAAAAGAAACCCAAAUAAAAACGCAAGUCCAAAAAGGGGAGGAGAAAGCAGCCCCGGGUCAGCAGCAGCUGGCACUGGUCCUCCCAGCACUAGAGGUGUAAAUGCUGAAGUUUACAGCUUGAGAGGUAAGGCCCACCAUAGGCAAAGAGCAGUGUCCAGCUCUGUCUGAGCCACUGCCAGUUUGGGAAGGAGAGAGCUGUUGCAGACAACCAGCAGGGCUCCAUGGUGUGGGGUUGGCUCUGCAUUAGGGGGCAGUCGCAGCCUGCAGAGACACUAGGGGCUUUGUUACUGAGCAAGUCUCCCAGGCGCUGACUGCUGAUGCAUAGCUAACGGGGCAGCAGACACUGAUUUAUGUGCGACUAUCCAUUUCAUCAGUGAGAGUCACGGCGCUACAUGUGGAGUGCACACUGGGGGUGGGGGCAGCUGGAGUGUGCAGACACAAACCUGUCCAAACACAUGCGUCUGGGCAGGCAUACCAGCCAAGGCCCACCAGUCACUCAGGCAGCCUGGCACUUCAGGAAUAACCUUUUGUCCAUGGUUGCUAGGAGCCCUGGUGCCAGUCAUCUGCCCCUGGGCAGACAUAAGGCACCAGGCUGGCCGCUGGGUGAACAGAGACCUAUGAGGAGGUGAUGGUGCCCAGGAAAGGUGAGUGGUGGUAAGGUUCCGUCACUAAACCGAAGGACAAUAAGUCCUGAUGUGGGUAGGAAGACUCUCGAAGGACACCCAAGAAUUUGUCAGUAGGGUUAGAUACAAUUCAGGGUACAUAGCUCGUGGGGUGAGAGUGGGGGCCCUUCAGUUUUCUGCCCUGUAGUCAGCUUCUAUCGCAAUAACCAGAGGUGGGAGGUUAGUUGCUUCCAGAGCACACUGACUGAAUGGAUAGGGUAGAGUAGGAAGGACUUCACCUCCAUCUGAGGCUUGGGCCCAGCAGCUGGAACACUUCAUCCCUAACCCUUCUUAGCAGUAACUGGCUCACCUCUGUCAGUCUGGAAGCAGAUGACUGCACCUGGUAAGAAGCUGGGGGCAGGGGAACCAGGGCUCAGAGAGCACCUGUGGGCCUUAAAUCAAUGGACAACAGACUGGGCAGAGCCUGGGGUGAGGGGGUGGGGCCUGGGUGAAGGGGAGGAGGGAGCAAUGACUGGAAAGAUGAGUAGUUCAUACAGAAGCCACAAUCCUAUGCUGUCCAGAACCGUCUGUCCGGCUCCCUAGCCAGACCUGUGCAGUCCCAGUAGCGCUCCCGCAUCUGUGCUGCAGCCAUGCUGGGCUCUGGGGCCGACCUUCUAAAACAAUGCAAUCCCAGAAGGCAGGAAGGGCUAACUCUUCUGGGAGAAUGCUUUCCCCCAUCUUCAAAAAGGCCAGAGAGCUCCCACCAGGAAGGGCCUGAGCUCAACCAGGACAGGCAAAAAGAGGGCUGAAGGGGCAGGAGGUGUUUAUUUACUAUACACCCAAUUCCUGCCCCCAAACUGCCCAGCAUUGUCUAAGCCUAGCCUGUGCUUCUAUGUCUCACCAUGACAUCUCUCUUUAUGGCCUUUGCUAGACUGAGUCCCUGGGCAGGUUCUUCUCUAUAGCUCCUUCUGGUAGUGAUCACCAGAGUUCCUCAACCAUAGGGACAUGCCUGACACUCAUGGGUUUGGUUCCUGCCCACUUCCUUGCCUCCCUUCUUCUCUCAGCUUUCUUUUUUUUUCCUUUUUUCCCCGGGGCUGGGGACCGAACCCAGGG